rnacentral:rRNA from 1 species
AUUGAACGCUGGCGGCAUGCUUUACACAUGCAAGUCGAACGGUAACAGGCCGCAAGGUGCUGACGAGUGGCGAACGGAUGAGUAAUGCAUCGGAACGUGCCCAGUCGUGGGGGAUAACGCAGCGAAAGCUGUGCUAAUACCGCAUACGAUCUAUGGAUGAAAGCGGGGGAUCGCAAGACUUCGCGCGAUUGGAGCGGCGGAUGGCAGAUUAGGUAGUUGGUGGGGUAAAGGCUCACCAAGCCGACGAUCUGUAGCUGGUCUGAGAGGACGACCAGCCACACUGGGACUGAGACACGGCCCAGACUCCUACGGGAGGCAGCAGUGGGGAAUUUUGGACAAUGGGCGCAAGCCUGAUCCAGCCAUUCCGCGUGCAGGAUGAAGGCCUUCGGGUUGUAAACUGCUUUUGUACGGAACGAAAAGGCUCUUUCUAAUACAGAGGGCUCAUGACGGUACCGUAAGAAUAAGCACCGGCUAACUACGUGCCAGCAGCCGCCGUAAUAC